GUGAAGCGGCAAAAGCUCAAAUUUGAAAUCUGGCUCCUUUGGGGCCCGAGUUGUAAUUUGCAGAGGAUGCUUCGGGCGUGGCCGCGGUCUAAGUCCCCUGGAACGGGGCGUCGCAGAGGGUGAGAAUCCCGUCUUCGGCCGGCCGGCUUCGCCCAUGUGAAGCUCCUUCGACGAGUCGAGUUGUUUGGGAAUGCAGCUCUAAAUGGGUGGUAAAUUUCAUCUAAAGCUAAAUAUUGGUCGGAGACCGAUAGCGCACAAGUAGAGUGAUCGAAAGAUGAAAAGCACUUUGAAAAGAGAGUUAAACAGCAUGUGAAAUUGUUGAAAGGGAAGCGCUUGCGACCAGAGUCGGCCGUGGGGGUUCAGCGGGCAUUCGUUGCCCGUGCACUCCCCCACGGGCGGGCCAGCGUCGGUUUCGACGGCCGGUCAAAGGCCCCCGGAAUGUGUCGCCUCUCGGGGCGUCUUAUAGCCGGGGGUGCAAUGCGGCCAGUCGGGACCGAGGAACGCGCUUCGGCACGGACGCUGGCUUAAUGGUCGUAAGCGACCCGUCUUGAAACACGGACCAAGGAGUCUAACAUCCACGCGAGUGUUCGGGUGUCAAACCCGUCCGCGCAGUGAAAGCGAACGGAGGUGGGAACCCUUAAGGGUGCACCAUCGACCGAUCCUGAAGUCUUCGGAUGGAUUUGAGUAAGAGCGUGGCUGUUGGGACCCGAAAGAUGGUGAACUAUGCCUGAAUAGGGUGAAGCCAGAGGAAACUCUGGUGGAGGCUCGCAGCGGUUCUGACGUGCAAAUCGAUCGUCGAAUUUGGCAUAGGGCGAAAGACUAAUCGACC
rnacentral:rRNA from 1 species